AACGAACGCUGGCGGCAGGCUUAACACAUGCAAGUCGAGCGCCCCGCAAGGGGAGCGGCAGACGGGUGAGUAACGCGUGGGAAUCUACCCAUCUCUACGGAAUAACGCAUGGAAACGUGUGCUAAUACCGUAUACGUCCUUCGGGAGAAAGAUUUAUCGGCGAUGGAUGAGCCCGCGUUGGAUUAGCUAGUUGGUGGGGUAAAGGCCUACCAAGGCGACGAUCCAUAGCUGGUCUGAGAGGAUGAUCAGCCACACUGGGACUGAGACACGGCCCAGCCUCCUACGGGAGGCAGCAGUGGGGAAUAUUGGACAAUGGGCGCAAGCCUGAUCCAGCCAUGCCGCGUGAGUGAUGAAGGCCCUAGGGUUGUAAAGCUCUUUCACCGGUGAAGAUAAUGACGGUAACCGGAGAAGAAGCCCCGGCUAACUUCGUGCCAGCAGCCGCGGUAACAC
rnacentral:rRNA from 1 species